ensembl:lncRNA
AUUAAUACUGUAUUGACUCAUCUAAUAUACAUCUAUCUCCGUAUCCACACAUCAUUAAAGCCACAUCACAUUCAACUAAAAUUUUGUCUCAAAUUUGAACCAUUGACAUUGCUGUGUUUACUUAACUUCAACAGUAGGAGGCUGCACUCCCAAAGUGAGGACGAUGAUGAUGAAGCAAACAUCCCUGUCAGAGCCUGGCCCAGCCAGUCCAGCCUGCACAGCACAGAUGACAUACUUAAAGAGCGUCCAGCGUCUUCAGCUAGUCAGACCAGUACAGUGGUCAACGAGCGUCUUCAGGAGCUGGUCCGGAUGUUUAAAGAGAGAACCGAGAAGGCUAAGGAGAAACUCAUUGACCCUGACAGCUCAGAUGAAGACAAGGCACAAGCAGAAAGUGGAGCAGAGGAGGAGCAGUGUGGCCGCCGCAGCAAGGUGAAAACUCCUCGAUGGAUACAAGCCUGUAUGCACUACCGCUUCCCUGCCAGCAUCGACCCCUUCACCAACCUGAUGUACGUGCUGUGGAUGCUACUGGUCACUCUGGCAUGGAACUGGAACGUGUGGUUCAUCCCUGUGCGCUGGGCGUUUCCCUACCAGACUCCAGACAAUAUUUACUACUGGCUGCUGAUCGACUACCUGUGUGACCUUAUUUACAUUCUGGACAUCAGCAUCUUUCAGCCGCGGCUGCAGUUUAUCCGAGGAGGGGACAUAUUUGAUGUAGCCAGCCUUAUUCCGCUGGAACUCUUCUAUUUUAAAACUGGCGUCAACCCUCUACUUCGCUUACCCAGACUACUGAAGAUCAACUCCUUUUUUGAGUUCAACGAGCGUCUCGAGGCCAUCUUAACCAAAGCCUACAUCUACAGGGUGAUACGUACGACCACCUACCUUCUUUACUGUCUCCACUGCAACGCCUGUCUGUACUACUGGGGCUCUGCCUUCAAUGGACUAGGAUCAACAAAAUGGGUGUAUGAUGGCAAGGGCAACAGUUACAUUCGCUGUUACUACUUUGCGGUGAAGACCCUCAUCACCAUUGGCGGUCUGCCGGACCCCACCACCCUGUUUGAGAUUGUCUUCCAACUUAUCAACUACUUUGUUGGAGUCUUCGCCUUCUCUAUCAUGAUUGGACAGAUGCGUGACGUGGUCGGUGCAGCCACAGCUGGUCAGACUUACUACCGCACAUGUAUGGACAACACGAUUAAAUACAUGUCCUCCUAUCGAAUCCCCAAAGACGUCCAAAACCGUGUCAAAACCUGGUACAACUAUACCUGGCAAUCACAAGGCAUGCUAGAUGAGCAGGAGUUACUGACUCAGUUGCCAGAUAAAAUGCGUCUGGACAUUGCUAUAGAUGUCAACUAUUCCAUCGUCAGCAAAGUCCCCCUUUUCCAGGGUUGUGACAGACAGAUGAUCUUUGACAUGCUGAAAAGCUUACGCUCCGUUGUUUACCUGCCUGGAGAUUAUGUCUGCAAAAAGGGUGAGGUGGGUCGGGAGAUGUACAUCAUAAAAGCAGGGGAGGUGCAGGUGGUUGGAGGGCCUGAUGGAAAGACAGUCUUUGUAACUCUCAGAGCAGGAUCAGUGUUUGGAGAGAUCAGUUUGCUUGCAGUAGGCGGGGUUAACAGGCGCACAGCAAACGUGAUCGCACACGGCUUUGCCAAUCUCUUCAUCCUGGACAAGAAAGACCUGAAUGAGAUCCUGGUCCACUAUCCCGAGUCCAAGAAACUGCUCCGCAAGAAGGCCAGAAAGAUGCUUGCUAAGGGAAAGAAACCUGAACCCAAAGCAGAGGCUAAGGAUCCACCUCAGGUCCCGCCAGCCCCUGUUAGGGCGGAGACCCCUAGACUGCUGAGAGCUGCCCUGGAGAUGACAGAGAGAUCGUCUGGACUUAAAGGAGCUCUGGCUAAAGUCAAAGAGAAGACCAACAAGUCCAGUAUCUCGUUACAGGUAAACAGAGUGAAAACUGAGCAGACCAAAAAAGAAACAGAUGCAUAUGUGGCAGUGGCAAAAUAAUCUCUCUUCUCUUCUCUUCUCUUCUCUUCUCUUCUCUUCCAGCCCUCCAUCUCCUCCACCCUGCCUCCUCCAUCUCCCACCUCCAGCUCAGGACCUGACAGAGACGCAGACACGCCGUCACCCAUGUCUGCCAGCUCUGCGAUGUAUCGCUCCGCUUCCCAUUGCCGCAACAACAACAACAACUCUGCCAGGCCUCACUCUCCCUCGCAGUGCCAUGGCGACGAAGACGAGAUUCUUGCCGUGAACCGAAGAGAGGAGGGUGCCAGUGAGGUUGAUGGAAGCAGAUGUGGGAAUAGGAAGGAGAAGACGUUGUGAUAAAUCUUUAAAGGAAAAGUAAAAACAUGACCAGUGUAUCUGCUGUAAAUUGACAGAAUGGUGGAGUGAAAGAGAGGGGCGGUUCUGUAAAUGAGCAUUUGAAAAUGUUUGGAACGGCUUCAAUGCAAAAAUAUCAAGGUAGUACUGUAUUACAAUCUGACCCAUGACACACUGUCUACAUCAUGCUGUGUAGUCGUUAUAUAAAAACCUGGUAUAUUUUGUCACUUUGGUCGAUGUUGCAUUAGCUGCUGUGGGAUGAGCUGUGUUUUGCAUUAGAACCUACACAUCUUGUGGGCGUCCCUGUCUGUCCCUGUAUUUCUCAAUAUGGAGUCGUAAGAACAAGUCCAGAUUCAUUCUGUUCAUUCUGUUCUCCAUUUGCUUUGCAGUGUUCUCUCAGCCUCCACCACUGUGUUCAUCUUUAUUAUUCUCAAUAUAAGAUAAUCUAAUGUAGGAGCAAGCCAUUCCCCACCUGGUUACCUCUUCAGAAUUCAUUUUUACAUCAUCUACACUGAGUUCACGUGACUGAAUUCAAUGUAGCUGUGAUGAUGACUGAAUGCUGCGUGGGAUGGCAUGGCUAAGCCAUUACAGUAAUUUAGCUGUUUAUAAUCAUUUCUACGAAACUGAACUUCUUGUCUUUCUAAAACAUACAAACAUGUUUUUGCUGUUGUUGUCUGCUAACUCUGUACGGAUUAUUUUGUAACAGUAAAACCACAAUUUGCCUUAUAAGUUUUGUCAUUUACCCAUGUCUUGUGUUGGUGUGAGUAGCUUGCAUUGCUGAUGUUUGAAACACAGUACAGACUUUGUGUUACAAAUAAAUGUUGACAGGUCAUCUGAGAUUACUUUAUA